CAUCUCUACGAGGAGAAGCAAUAUGGCUCAUGGUCGAAUUCGACAAGAGAGUUCAAAGUCCAAUCGAUAAUAUGGCUACUAAUAUCUGAGCCUUUUACGAUACAAUUUAUCAUUUAUCUUGCAUAUAUUGAUUUUGAGUUGCAAUGAUUUAGUCUGAUCAGCCAAUCCAGCCUCUACUUUAGCAUCUUCUUCCACACCACACCAUA
rnacentral:lncRNA from 1 species